rnacentral:rRNA from 1 species
UACGGGGGGGGCAAGCGUUGUUCGGAAUUACUGGGCGUAAAGGGCUCGUAGGUGGCCAACUAAGUCGGACGUGAAAUCCCUCGGCUUAACCGGGGAACUGCGUCUGAUACUGGAUGGCUUGAGUUCGGGAGAGGGAUGCGGAAUUCCCGGUGUAGAGGUGAAAUUCGUAGAUAUCGGGAGGAACACCGGUGGCGAAGGCGGCGACCUGGGUCGAGACUGACGCUGAGGCGCGAAAGCGUGGGGAGCAAACAGG